GGGCCUGUAGCUCAGCUGGGAGAGUGUCGCGUUCGCAAUGCGAAGGUCGUGGGUUCGAUCCCCAUCAGGUCCACCA
rnacentral:tRNA from 1 species